GGUUAAGCGACUAAGCGUACACGGUGGAUGCCCUGGCAGUCAGAGGCGAUGAAGGACGUGCUAAUCUGCGAUAAGCGUCGGUAAGGUGAUAUGAACCGUUAUAACCGGCGAUUUCCGAAUGGGGAAACCCAGUGUGAUUCGUCACACUAUCAUUAACUGAAUCCAUAGGUUAAUGAGGCGAACCGGGGGAACUGAAACAUCUAAGUACCCCGAGGAAAAGAAAUCAACCGAGAUUCCCCCAGUAGCGGCGAGCGAACGGGGAGCAGCCCAGAGCCUGAAUCAGUGUGUGUGUUAGUGGAAGCGUCUGGAAAGGCGCGCGAUACAGGGUGACAGCCCCGUACACAAAAAUGCACAUGCUGUGAGCUCGAUGAGUAGGGCGGGACACGUGGUAUCCUGUCUGAAUAUGGGGGGACCAUCCUCCAAGGCUAAAUACUCCUGACUGACCGAUAGUGAACCAGUACCGUGAGGGAAAGGCGAAAAGAACCCCGGCGAGGGGAGUGAAAAAGAACCUGAAACCGUGUACGUACAAGCAGUGGGAGCACGCUUAGGCGUGUGACUGCGUACCUUUUGUAUAAUGGGUCAGCGACUUAUAUUCUGUAGCAAGGUUAACCGAAUAGGGGAGCCGAAGGGAAACCGAGUCUUAACUGGGCGUUAAGUUGCAGGGUAUAGACCCGAAACCCGGUGAUCUAGCCAUGGGCAGGUUGAAGGUUGGGUAACACUAACUGGAGGACCGAACCGACUAAUGUUGAAAAAUUAGCGGAUGACUUGUGGCUGGGGGUGAAAGGCCAAUCAAACCGGGAGAUAGCUGGUUCUCCCCGAAAGCUAUUUAGGUAGCGCCUCGUGAAUUCAUCUCCGGGGGUAGAGCACUGUUUCGGCAAGGGGGUCAUCCCGACUUACCAACCGAUGCAAACUGCGAAUACCGGAGAAUGUUAUCACGGGAGACACACGGCGGGUGCUAACGUCCGUCGUGAAGAGGGAAACAACCCAGACCGCCAGCUAAGGUCCCAAAGUCAUGGUUAAGUGGGAAACGAUGUGGGAAGGCCCAGACAGCCAGGAUGUUGGCUUAGAAGCAGCCAUCAUUUAAAGAAAGCGUAAUAGCUCACUGGUCGAGUCGGCCUGCGCGGAAGAUGUAACGGGGCUAAACCAUGCACCGAAGCUGCGGCAGCGACGCUGAUGCGUUGUUGGGUAGGGGAGCGUUCUGUAAGGCCUGCGAAGGUGUCGGCUAGUGAGGCAUGACUGGAGGUAUCAAGAACGU
rnacentral:rRNA from 1 species